rnacentral:ncRNA from 1 species
AGCUGGUUCCCUCCGAAGUUUCCCUCAGGAUAGCUGGAGCCCAUUACGAGUUCUAUCAGGUAAAGCCAAUGAUUAGAGGCAUUGGGGACGCAACGUCCUCGACCUAUUCUCAAACUUUAAAUAGGUAGGAUGGCUCGCGUGCUUCGGUGAGCCGUGCCACGGAAUCGGGUGCUCCAAGUGGGCCAUUUUUGGUAAGCAGAACUGGCGAUGCGGGAUGAACCGGAAGCCGGG